CACCUUCCUUGCAAAUCUCCUCUCACAGGGUGGGCAGGCUAGCUUUGGCCCAAGCUGUCUGCUCCAGAAGAGCAGAAAGGGAUGCUAGAGCACCUCCUGGCUUCUGACCUGUGUUACUGCAGACAUGUGACUGCAUUUCUGGACUCAAAAGUGAACGUCUGUUCACUUGCUUAUUGGUUCAGUCUAUGCAGUUUAAACUAACCUGCAAAGCUGGAAUCAAUUCAGCCUUGUACUUUUUGACUGUCUGUAUUUAACCUAGAAGUGCCUACCUGACUUUCCCUUCUUAGAGACACACCCCAGGGAUGUGUCCCAGCACAGCUGACUAGCUUUAUUUGCUGACAUCUAUUUCUACUCCUAACUUCCUUUUAUUGAAGGUAGUAGUAACAGAAAGGAGGGAGGGAGGAAAGAAGGGCUGAGAAGAGAUGUAGAACCUCUCCAUCCUGUCCAAAUACCAUUUCUAUGAGUUGCCUCAUGCCAGGUGACUCUGUGUAGUUCUCAUUUUCUUAAUGUUCUUUGUCUCUUUUAUUUAUAUUUGUGGCAGGUGGCUGCAAAAUCCUGCUAGUUCUGUAAGUAAUGGAAGACACUUGGUGUAUGAGUAAAAGAGUAUGCAAGAGAAAAAGGCAAAAGGCAGUGCAGACACAGUUCAUGUCUCUUCAACUUCUCUGCAUAUGAAGGACCCUCCAUCCUGUAGUCUACGCUCAUCACUUCUCUGUGUGGGAGAUGUUACUUCCUGACCUACUAAUUGGAGUGAGAACUGAAGCACAACACCUGCGGGGAGAUUCAUCCCUGAAGUUGCUACUGCUGCUGCUGGCUGAGCUCCUACCUCCAGUGAGGCAGAGAGGCUGCCACUGCCACGCCAAGCUGUGCAGCACGGAGGAAGGAAGAUAGUGGCUGAAGGGGGCUGCACAGGCUAUGGCUGCUGCUGCUCCAGGUGGGUGGCAGUGUGCACAGCCCUGGCUGCAGUAGCAAGGCCCUUCCCCAGGUGGGGGCAGGGUGCCCGGGCU
rnacentral:lncRNA from 1 species